CCUACGGGAGGCAGCAGUGAGGAAUAUUGGUCAAUGGGCGGAAGCCUGAACCAGCCAAGUAGCGUGCGGGAUGAAGGCCCUACGGGUCGUAAACCGCUUUUACACGGGGAUAACACCCGCCACGUGUGGAGUUCUGCAGGUACCGUGCGAAUAAGGGCCGGCUAAUUCCGUGCCAGCAGCCGCGGUAAUACGGAGGGUCCGAGCGUUAUCCGGAUUCAUUGGGCUAAAAGGGAGCGUAGGCGGGCGUUCAAGUCAGCUGUAAAAUCGCGCGGCUCAACCGCGGACCGCAGUUGAAACUGGACGGCUUGAGUUCGCCACAGGCAGGCGGAAUUCGUGGUGUAGCGGUGAAAUGCAUAGAUAUCACGAGGAACCCCGAUUGCGAAGGCAGCCUGCCGGGGUGCGACUGACGCUGAGGCUCGAAGGUGCGGGUAUCAAACAGGAUUAGAUACCCCUGUAGUC
rnacentral:rRNA from 1 species